rnacentral:rRNA from 1 species
UGGGGAAUAUUGGACAAUGGGCGAAAGCCUGAUCCAGCCAUGCCGCGUGAGUGACGAAGGCCUUAGGGUUGUAAAACUCUUUCGUCGGGGACGAUAAUGACGGUACCCGAAGAAGAAGCUCCGGCUAACUUCGUGCCAGCAGCCGCGGUAAUACGAAGGGAGCUAGCGUUGUUCGGAAUCACUGGGCGUAAAGCGCACGUAGGCGGAUAGUUAAGUCAGGGGUGAAAUCCUGGGGCUCAACCCCAGAACUGCCUUUGAUACUGGCUGUCUCGAGGUCGAGAGAGGUUGGUGGAAUUCCUAGUGUAGAGGUGAAAUUCGUAGACAUUAGGAAGAACACCAGUGGCGAAGGCGGCCAACUGGCUCGAUACUGACGCUGAGGUGCGAAAGCGUGGGGAGCAAACAGGAUUAGAUACCCAAGUAGUCCCUGAGCGGGCUGGCAAGGCGCAU